rnacentral:rRNA from 1 species
UACGGGGGGGCGAAGCGUUGUUCGGAAUUACUGGGCGUAAAGGGCUCGUAGGCGGCCAACUAAGUCAGACGUGAAAUCCCUCGGCUUAACCGGGGAACUGCGUCUGAUACUGGAUGGCUUGAGGUUGGGAGAGGGAUGCGGAAUUCCAGGUGUAGCGGUGAAAUGCGUAGAUAUCUGGAGGAACACCGGUGGCGAAGGCGGCAUCCUGGACCAACACUGACGCUGAGUGAGCGAAAGCCAGGGGGAGCAAACGGG